GACGAACGCUGGCGGCGUGCCUAAUACAUGCGAGUAGAACGCUGAAGAGAGGAGCUUGCUCUUCUUGGAUGAGUUGCGAACGGGUGAGUAACGCGUAGGUAACCUGCCUUGUAGCGGGGGAUAACUAUUGGAAACGAUAGCUAAUACCGCAUAACAAUGGAUGACACAUGUCAUUUAUUUGAAAGGGGCAAUUGCUCCACUACAAGAUGGACCUGCGUUGUAUUAGCUAGUAGGUGAGGUAAUGGCUCACCUAGGCGACGAUACAUAGCCGACCUGAGAGGGUGAUCGGCCACACUGGGACUGAGACACGGCCCAGACUCCUACGGGAGGCAGCAGUAGGGAAUCUUCGGCAAUAGGGGCAACCCUGACCGAGCAACGCCGCGUGAGUGAAGAAGGUUUUCGGAUCGUAAAGCUCUGUUGUAAGUCAAGAACGGGUGUGAGAGUGGAAAGUUCACACUGUGACGGUAGCUUACCAGAAAGGGACGGCUAACUACGUG
rnacentral:rRNA from 1 species